UUAUAACUCUAUAACGGUGGAAUUAAUCUCUGGGCGCCGCCAGAUGCGGGGGAACGUAUCCGAAGUCGCAAGCUUACACCCCCCAAGAAUUCGCGGGGGCGCGCACAAGCAGCGGAGCGUGUGGUUUAAUUCGACGCAACACGAAGAACCUUACCUGGGCCUGACAUGACGCUGCAACGCCGUCGAAAGAACGGCCGCCUUGCGAAGGGUGCGUCGAAGGUGCUGCAUGGGUGUCGUCAGCUCGUGUCGUGAAAUGUUGGGUUCAAGUCCCGCAACGAGCGCAACCCGCGUGGGUAGUUGCUCGUGUCUACCGAGACUGCCGCGUGACCGCCGGAGGAAGUCUCGGAUGACGUCAAGUCAGCAUGGCCCUUACGUCCGAGGGCGACACGACACGCUGCGAAUGGCCACGACUAAUUCGUUGCCCAAGCCGCAAGCCGGAGCUAAUCGCUUAACGUGGUCGAAUGCAGAUCGGGGUCUGCACUCGCACCCUGAAGCGGAGUGCUAUACCCUUGAGGCGAUCUGAGUACCACCAUGCGCCCCGACUGGACUAAG
rnacentral:rRNA from 1 species